GUACGGGAGGCAGCAGUGGGGAAUUUUGCGCAAUGGGGGAAACCCUGACGCAGCAACGCCGCGUGGAGGAUGAAGGUCUUCGGAUUGUAAACUCCUGUCAGUGGGGAAAAAGGGGAACGGGUUCAUACCCCGUUUCAUUGAUUGUACCCGCAGAGGAAGCCCCGGCUAACUCUGUGCCAGCAGCCGCGGUAAUACAGAGGGGGCAAGCGUUAUUCGGAAUUAUUGGGCGUAAAGGGCGCGUAGGCGGUCGCACAAGUGGAAGGUGAAAUCCCUCGGCUUAACCGAGGAGCUGCCUCCCAAACUGUGUGACUUGAGUCCGGGAGAGGUGAGUGGAAUUCCCAGUGUAGCGGUGAAAUGCGUAGAUAUUGGGAGGAACACCAGUGGCGAAGGCGGCUCACUGGACCGGAACUGACGCUGAGGCGCGAAAGCGUGGGGAGCAAACGGGAUUAGAUACCCCGGUAGC
rnacentral:rRNA from 1 species